UACGUAGGGGUCGAGCGUUGUCCGGACUUACUGGGCGUAAAGCGUGGGUAGGUGGUCGGUGAUGUGCCGUGUGAAAGCCCCGCGUUCAUCGGGGGGAGGUCGCGGUAGACACAUUGACUUGAGGCAUGCAGAGGGCAGUGGAAUUCCCGGUGUAGUGGUGAAAUGCGUAGAGAUCGGGAGGAACAUCUGUGGCGAAGGCGACUGCCUGGACCAGCACUGACACUGAGGCACGAAAGCGUGGGGAGCAAACAGG
rnacentral:rRNA from 1 species